rnacentral:rRNA from 1 species
UUCGGGAUGCCGGCGAGUGGCGAACGGGUGAGUAACACGUGGAGACCUACCCUGGGGUGGGGGAUAACAGCUAGAAAUGGCUGCUAAUACCGCAUACGCCUUACGAGGGAAAGAUUUAUUGCCCCAGGAGGGUUCCGCGUCGGAUUAGCUUGUUGGUGGGGUAACGGCCUACCAAGGCGACGAUCCGUAGCUGGUCUUAGAGGAUGAUCAGCCACACUGGGACUGAGACACGGCCCAGACUCCUACGGGAGGCAGCAGUGGGGAAUAUUGCGCAAUGGAGGCAACUCUGACGCAGCGAUGCCGCGUGGGUGAAUAAGGCCUUAGGGUUGUAAAGCCCUUUCAGUGGGAACGAUGAUGACGGUACCCACAGAAGAAGCCCCGGCUAACUCCGUGCCAGCAGCCGCGGUAAUACGGAGGGGGCGAGCGUUGU